UUAAGUUAAUAAGGGCGCACGGUGGAUGCCUUGGCACUAGAAGCCGAUGAAGGACGUGACUAACGACGAAAUGCUUUGGGGAGCUGUAAGUGAGCAAUGAUCCAGAGAUGUCCGAAUGGGGGAACCCGGCAGGUAAUGCCUGUCACUCAUUACUGUUAAGGUAAUGUAGAGGAAGACGCAGUGAACUGAAACAUCUAAGUAGCUGCAGGAAGAGAAAGCAAAAGCGAUUGCCUUAGUAGCGGCGAGCGAAACGGCAAGAGGGCAAACCGAAGAGUUUACUCUUCGGGGUUGUAGGACUGCAACGUGGACUUAAAGAUUAUAGAAGAACUACCUGGGAAGGUAGGCCAAAGAGAGUAAUAGCCUCGUAUUCGAAAUAGUCUUUAUACCUAGCAGUAUCCUGAGUACGGCGAGACACGAGAAAUCUCGUCGGAAUCUGGGAGGACCAUCUCCCAACCCUAAAUACUCUCUAGUGACCGAUAGUGAACCAGUACCGUGAGGGAAAGGUGAAAAGCACCCCGGGAGGGGAGUGAAAUAGAACCUGAAACCGUGUGCCUACAACAAGUUCGAGCCCGUUAAUGGGUGAGAGCGUGCCUUUUGUAGAAUGAACCGGCGAGUUACGAUAUGAUGCGAGGUUAAGUUGAAGAGACGGAGCCGUAGGGAAACCGAGUCUUAAUAGGGCGCAUUAGUAUCAUGUCGUAGACCCGAAACCAUGUGACCUACCCAUGAGCAGGUUGAAGGUGAGGUAAAACUCACUGGAGGACCGAACCAGGGCACGUUGAAAAGUGCUUGGAUGACUUGUGGGUAGCGGAGAAAUUCCAAACGAACUUGGAGAUAGCUGGUUCUCUCCGAAAUAGCUUUAGGGCUAGCGUCGAUGUUAAGUCUCUUGGAGGUAGAGCACUGUUUGGGUGAGGGGUCCAUCCCGGAUUACCAAUCUCAGAUAAACUCCGAAUGCCAAUGAAUUAUGGUCGGCAGUCAGACUGCGAGUGCUAAGAUCCGUAGUCGAAAGGGAAACAGCCCAGACCACCAGCUAAGGUCCCAAAAUAUAUGUUAAGUGGAAAAGGAUGUGGGGUUGCACAGACAACUAGGAUGUUAGCUUAGAAGCAGCUAUUCAUUCAAAGAGUGCGUAAUAGCUCACUAGUCGAGUGACCCUGCGCCGAAAAUGUACCGGGGCUAAAACAAUUUACCGAAGCUGUGGAUACCUUUAUAGGUAUGGUAGGAGAGCGUUCUAUGUGUGGAGAAGGUGUACCGUGAGGAGCGCUGGAACGCAUAGAAGUGAGAAUGCCGGUAUGAGUAGCGAAAGACAGGUGAGAAUCCUGUCCACCGUAAGACUAAGGUUUCCAGGGGAAGGCUCGUCCGCCCUGGGUUAGUCGGGACCUAAGGAGAGACCGAAAGGUGUAUCCGAUGGACAACAGGUUGAUAUUCCUGUACUAGAGUAUGUAGUGAAGGAGGGACGCAGUAGGCUAACUAAAGCGUGCGACUGGAAGUGCACGUCUAAGCAGUGAGGUGUGAAUUGAGUUAAAUGCUUAAUUCUAUAACAUUGAGCUGUGAUGGGGAGCGAAGUUUAGUAGCGAAGUUAGUGACGUCACACUGCCAAGAAAAGCUUCUAGCGUUAAUCAUACUCUACCCGUACCGCAAACCGACACAGGUAGUCGAGGCGAGUAGCCUCAGGUGAGCGAGAGAACUCUCGUUAAGGAACUCGGCAAAAUGACCCCGUAACUUCGGGAGAAGGGGUGCUGGCUUUGAGUCAGCCGCAGUGAAUAGGCCCAAGCAACUGUUUAUCAAAAACACAGCUCUCUGCUAAAUCGUAAGAUGAUGUAUAGGGGGUGACGCCUGCCCGGUGCUGGAAGGUUAAGAGGAGUGCUUAGCGUAAGCGAAGGUAUGAAUUGAAGCCCCAGUAAACGGCGGCCGUAACUAUAACGGUCCUAAGGUAGCGAAAUUCCUUGUCGGGUAAGUUCCGACCCGCACGAAAGGCGUAAUGAUUUG
rnacentral:rRNA from 1 species